CGUAUCACCCAAGACAACUUUACGGAGUUGACGAUUGACGGAGCGAAGCGACGUCAAAGCGUUCAUUAAAGUCGAGUUGGCUUAGGGAUACGUUCGUUGGGUAGGGGAGCGUUCUGUAAGCCUGUGAAGGUGUGUCGUGAGGCAUGCUGGAGGUAUCAGAAGUGCGAAUGCUGACAUAAGUAACGAUAAAGCGGGUGAAAAGCCCGCUCGCCGGAAGACCAAGGGUUCCUGUCCAACGUUAAUCGGGGCAGGGUGAGUCGACCCCUAAGGCGAGGCCGAAAGGCGUAGUCGAUGGGAAACGGGUUAAUAUUCCCGUACUUGGUGUUACUGCGAAGGGGGGACGGAGAAGGCUAUGUUGGCCGGGCGACGGUUGUCCCGGUUUAAGCGUGUAGGUGUGUGUUCCAGGUAAAUCCGGUUCACUUUAACACUGAGGCGUGACGACGAGGCACUACGGUGCUGAAGCAACAAAUGCCCUGCUUCCAGGAAAAGCCUCUAAGCAUCAGGUAACAUCAAAUCGUACCCCAAACCGACACAGGUGGUCAGGUAGAGAAUACCAAGGCGCUUGAGAGAACUCGGGUGAAGGAACUAGGCAAAAUGGUGCCGUAACUUCGGGAGAAGGCACGCUGACACGUAGGUGAAGUGAUUUACUCAUGGAGCUGAAGUCAGUCGAAGAUACCAGCUGGCUGCAACUGUUUAUUAAAAACACAGCACUGUGCAAACACGAAAGUGGACGUAUACGGUGUGACGCCUGCCCGGUGCCGGAAGGUUAAUUGAUGGGGUCAGCGCAAGCGAAGCUCCUGAUCGAAGCCCCGGUAAACGGCGGCCGUAACUAUAACGGUCCUAAGGUAGCGAAAUUCCUUGUCGGGUAAGUUCCGACCUGCACGAAUGGCGUAAUGAUGGCCAGGCUGUCUCCACCCGAGACUCAGUGAAAUUGAACUCGCUGUGAAGAUGCAGUGUACCCGCGGCAAGACGGAAAGACCCCGUGAACCUUUACUAUAGCUUGACACUGAACAUUGAGCCUUGAUGUGUAGGAUAGGUGGGAGGCUUUGAAGUGUGGACGCCAGUCUGCAUGGAGCCGACCUUGAAAUACCACCCUUUAAUGUUUGAUGUUCUAACGUGGACCCGUAAUCCGGGUUGCGGACAGUGUCUGGUGGGUAGUUUGACUGGGGCGGUCUCCUCCUAAAGAGUAACGGAGGAGCACGAAGGUUGGCUAAUCCUGGUCGGACAUCAGGAGGUUAGUGCAAUGGCAUAAGCCAGCUUGACUGCGAGCGUGACGGCGCGAGCAGGUGCGAAAGCAGGUCAUAGUGAUCCGGUGGUUCUGAAUGGAAGGGCCAUCGCUCAA
rnacentral:rRNA from 1 species